rnacentral:rRNA from 1 species
UGGUGAAGUGUUCGGAUUGGCAGCUUAGGGUGGCAACACCUCAGGUCUGCCGAGAAGUUCAUUAAACCCUCCCCACCUAGAGGAAGGAGAAGUCGUAACAAGGUUUCCGUAGGUGAACCUCGCGGAAGGAUCAUUCGA